rnacentral:lncRNA from 1 species
GGGCUGUGUGGCCUCCAGAGAUUCGGGCCGUUAGUUGGUUAUCGGUUAAUAACCCAACCGCCUUGUCGACACCCACGCAAAAUUCAGACCGACCGACCGACCGACGGGCUGACCAGAAGACCCAAACGUGGACGGACAGACAGAUAGACAGACAAAUAGACGGACGUACACCACACGUACACAAUGCCCAAAUCGCAAAAUGCAAGCAAACAGUCCGCAAGGGACGUUCGGGCUGUCGUUGCUUGGCAACCCAAACACAGGUAUCUGUACGGCAUUUACUAAACCAACAGUGCUAGUAACGCCGUACAAGCACGAAAGUCGAACACACUUUAAAAGCCUGCGACAUAGUCAGCAUGCUCUGUCUGUCUCUCUGUCAGCCUCAUAGCCGCACUCUACACCCUCCACGCCUCUUUCGCUCCCCGUAACGGUCAACUGGGAAAUCGCAUGUGUGCACAACGAAGCCUUGAGGUGACAGCGCAAGCAGUACAAACAAAAAACACAUCUAAUAAAUGACAUAGACAACUAGACCAACGUCUCUAACGGCUGCUUGGUGUGCACGUGCACACGGUGACAACAUCGCAGUAGCAGCAGUAGCAGGCAGCAGAGGUAGCCGGCCGCCGCCCGCACCACAGCCACCGAUGCCAACACCCCGGGGACCUCCCCAUUUGCCACUCAUCACUUCUGUGAUGACAUAAAUAUAAAUAUGUGUGUGUAUGUAUGUAUGUGUGUGUAUGUAUGUAUGUGUGUAUGUAUGUAUGUGUGUAUGUAUGUGUGUGUAUGUAUGUGUGUGUAUGUAUGUGUGUGUAUGACUUAGAUUACACUGUGAGCCGCCAGGGGCCGAAGCCGAAACACAGCGCAAGGGUCAGGAGCACACAGCACAAGUGUGUGUGUAUGUGUGUGUCUCGAGAGAUCAAGAUCUGCGUAUAUGCCGCAGCUGUGUUAGACCCAACAACACACAUCCAAAGAUAGCCUCGCGCCACUGCGUCAUAUUACACCAGUACUGGAGUAUCAUUACAGGAAUAUCCGUACUGGUUCCAUUCUGUCGUACUGAUGUAAAGGAAUCAUUUUACAUCCGAGCACAUUCACAGCUCAUGUAGUAGUUGGCCGCUGCUGAAAGGCCUCUCGAGAUGCUCGUGGAGAGCUUUGCACGUAUUUGUACAUGUUGUGUGUGCCGAACUGUGUAACAGCUACUUCAGCUCAGUUCAUUACGUCUCAUACAAAGAACAACAGAGAGUCCAACUCGCCAGCUUCCCCCCUGCAACCACACCUCCGUCCGUCCGUACAUCCGUACAUACACACACACCGUCUCUCUCACACAUACAUACAGAGAAAAACACACUCUUAUCGUGCUGUUCAUUCACAACACGCAAACCCUGCCUUGGCUUGUUGAACGGCCCCCUAGACAGGGAAACCCCCCUUUUCUCUCUCCCCCUCUCUUUGCUCAUGUCGCUGUGCAUGUGCAUGAGCCAGCAGUCCAAGCUUCAUUCUCCUGCUGCUGCUGCUGCUGCUGCUGCGCCUCCUGCUGCCGUCCACCAGAAUUAAAAGUUUGAGCACAGUGACAUACAUACAUACACACAUAACACACACUCUUCUGAGGGCAUACCUACCCCCCAAUCACGGCGGAUGACUCCUGCUACGCUCUUCCCAGCAAAGAAAGCAAAAGGCGCCUCCUAAGCCGAAACGGAUACCCCUCAGAAUGCACUUUUUCACCCCGCCACAAACAUACAUACAGACAAACAACCCAAGACCGAGUGAAAGAGCGACCUUCACGGCUAGGACGGACACCAUGAUCGCGUCUGCACUUUCCUUUUUACGGUCCCCUCCUCCCUGGAAACAAAAUACACAUAUAACGACGGAGCACACACACAGACAGACAAACACACACACAGACAAACACACACACAGGGGCACACACACAGACACACACAGACACACACAGGCACACAGACAGAGACACACACACAGGCACAGACAGACAGACAGACAGACAGACAGACAAACACACACAGGCACACACACAGACACACACACAGGCACACACACAGACAGACAAACACACACACAGACAAACACACACACACAGAUAUGAAAGAGAGAGAACACACACCUCUGCCCCUUAACAUCCCACCAGCCACCACCACCUAGAACCACCGGUCCUCCUCCACCUCCAUCCUCAACUCUUUGCGAUGCAACCCAGUAACAGCCGCUCUCCCUCUCUCCUCUGCAAUUGUGUUCACAACCUUUCCCACACACCUUUUACCUCCCUAACCGCACCGCACUCCCUUCCUUACCCAUUCCCUCCUUACAGCCAUUCGCCCGCCUCCUCCUCCUCCUCCUCCUCCUCCUCCCUCCAUUCGCCGCCAACUCACCUUACCUCAUCCUUACCUUACAUCAUUCAACUCGGCUCGGCUCACCCCUUACACCCAUUGGUUUGGUUGCAGUGAUGGCGCCAAAAAAUACAACAGCUUGUUAGUUUUGAAAAAAAUGAUGCGUUUUGAUUCACGCAGCAAGGUCAACCAAGAUAUAUAACCCAUAUAACCCAUAUAGGUUUAAUACAUACAUAUAUAUAUAACCCAUAAAAAACCUUUUACACCGGAGCGGGAGGGUGGGACCGCAAGGGGCCCUGCGGCGAUGUGGACGGCGAUAGGUUCACGGCUGUCCAGGGCAACUCGGGAACGUGCUGCAGACAGAUCGGAACGGGGACAGAAGCUGAGGGCGGUGUGGCCGCCGCCGCCGCCGCCGCCGUCCCUGCCAUCGUACCUACAAUGGGCCCGUUGACCGCAUUCUUCUGAAGGUUUUGCAACAUGAGGCCGCCGCCGCCGCCGCCGCCGGCCCCGGCAGCGGCAGCGGCGGCCGAAGCUGUCGCUGCCGCAACCUGCCGUAGCCUACCGCUGAUGUCGGCUGCUCCAGGGUUUUGGCCAGUCACCAUCCAUGGCGGUUGCCGGUACGGAAAUGACGAUGACGGUUGCGGUUGUGGCGGUUGCAUCAUGAUGCCCAUUUGCGUUCGAAUAUCCGACAUGUGCGUUUGGAAAUGGGGACGUGUCUGAGUCUGGGCCUUCCGCGUUUGUUCAGCCUGGGUCUGUACGGCAGCUGUUUCGGCGGAAAGAUGAAAGCGCAAUUGCUGGUUCUGUAGCUGUAGUUGCUGUUGUAGGAAGUUUUGGUUCUGUUGAUACGUGGGAAGAUGAGGCGGCAGUAGCAGCAAGGGUGCGUGAGGGGAAACACCCACCCCUAAAACCGCCGCACACGAUGACUGCUGCUGUUGUAGCUGUUGCGGUUGUAGCUGUUGUUGUGCAGCAAAGGUAUGAUGUGCAGUCUGUUGUUGUGGGACGUACGGGUUGAGUACGACACAGCGGGGGCGGUCUUGGUCAGUGGCAUGCUGGCUGCCUCUGCUUUGUUGUGUUAUGAGUGGAUUGUACGGCUGAGGUUGGGCAGCGGCGGCGGCUCGGGACGAGGCGGCCAAGGCUGCUGCAGCAGCGGCGCCGCCGCCAAGAGACGUGCGAGGCUGCUGACCACGCGCCGUCGAUGCCUGCAGUACAUCAGCGGACGCAAUGGACUGCAUGUGCUGCCUUGCCUGUUGUGGAUCGGAUGGCGAAGCUGCGCCUGGAAGGGUGGCGCCGGGGGAGGUGGCUGCCGCCGCCGCCGCCGCCCCGAUAUGCGACGGAGUUAGGGAGCCACGAGGUCGCGCAGCUCCGCUGCCGCCGUCGCCAGCCGCCGGCGGCUCCUGUUGCCCUCGUCCUACGGCAGGCCUGCCGCUGUCUGACCUGGCCCCGGCGGCUCUGACGGCUGCAGCGUUCCGCGCCCAAACGUCACCUGCGUCGGCUGCUGCCGUACCUGGCCUGCCGAAACUCAACAUCGCCAAAAAGGCGUCCACAUGAGAGCCAAAGUCCAGAUCUGCCGUCGCGGCAAUUUCCAUUGCGCCGCCGCCGCCGCCGCCGCCGCCGCGACCAGUCUCCAAUGCUCGCUGCCGCUGGGCCCCCGACUGCUGCUGCUGCAUCAGCCGCGACAGCAAAAGCGCCGCAGUUUGCUGCUGCUGCUGCAGCAACUGCCGUAGCUCCUGUUGGGAAUACAUCUCCCGGGGAAUUGUCGCCGCCGCCGCCACCUGCGGCAGGCUCAAUAAGGGUCCCUCCCCUUCAAACUCCCGGCGAACGAGGGCCUUAUCCCCCGCGCGAGCAGCCUGACGAAGGGCGUUCCAACCAGGAUGGGGCCGAGCAUUUGCGUGGUCCCUCUGACGGCGACCUGAGGAGGGUUUUGGAGCGUUUUGGAGAGUUUUGGAGAAGGAUUUCGGGAUUUGGGUUUAGUUUUUUUAGAGUUUACACAUCUGAGCACUACUACAAGUCAUGCGGAAGCAAGGCCAAGCAAGGCCAAGCAAGGUAAGGAGGGGAAAGACGACCCACGAGCGAGUGAAGCUGAUGCCAAGGAAAGACUGCUGCGGCGGUAAGGAGGGGGGGAGCUAUGUGCAGAGGCAAGGGGGAAGGAAAGGGACCCAAGGGAAAGGCAGUGAGUGGUUUUCCAUGCCAAGAAACCAAGUUAUGGAAAAGCAGCAGCUGGGAGGUGAAUAAGUUCAUAUAAUUUGUGGUGUAGGAAAUCUCGAGCAAAACCCAGCAAGCAAGCAAGCUCACCGCUGCAUGUGUAAAGUGCAUGUGUAAAGUCAGUGAGGGCUACAAGUGUGUGCGUUAUGUGCGGGGGUUCAUAUGUAGGGGUUGGUGGUCUCCACCAAUCCCCCCCUUGUCCGUUGCUUCAUGCGCCCUCCCUUCCUCGCCACCCAACCACCCAAUCAGAGCUUCGGACGUCGGCACCUGACCCCUUGCUCACUGCUCGCAAUGAUUAAUGCCCCUCUUCCUCCCCUCCGCAUUGGCUUGGCAUUACUGCUUUCUCUGCUUUUUUAGUCCUGGCGGCUUAGGUAGGUAGUUUUUCCGACAUCAUCUUCACUACGUCAUCCCGAGGUCGCCGUCUUCACGGACGCCUUUCGGUCAGUUCUACGUCUGGUACACUCUUGCUCUGGCAGCAGCUUCACUCGUUUGUGGUUCGUCUUUCCCCCCUCUGCACUCUCAAUGGUGGUACCCCUCCUCGGGCCCCCCAUGUGGCCGCCGACUUCCCAAAGAACACAAGACGUAUCCUCGAGGAGGACGUGUGGCGCUGCGCAGUCCCAUUUGUGAUGCGCGAUGACUCCACACACAAAAUGUUUUCAACACCCGACUCAAGUACGAACAAAUGAUUGUCGUACACAACUGUACUGCGACAGUCACAACUGGUCCGUACUGGACACGUACAGACCAUUUCCAUUUCAUUCCUCGUUUUACUUGACUUCCAGAUUAGAGGACCACGUGGCUUGGUUUCAUCACACACGUGUGUGGAGGCAUGUGCAAAUACAUAUGCACACGUACAUGCAUAUGUAAAUAGACUUAGACCCGUACAUAUACGUCCGUACAAUGUCGUACCUGUGCCCCAGAACUGACACUCCGACGCCUUCACAUCGCACACGAAGCAGUAGCACUGAAGAGUUGGUGGAAAGAGAAGCGGAGCGGAGCGGAAAGGGGAGAGGGCGGAUUAAGAAGGCGUCAAAAAGAUGAAUAAUUAUAAAAUGCAAAACACCCGAUCCAGCUAUACUUUUGUCCUUAGCCGACCCCUCCGCAACCGUUACCACCUUCACUCGAAGCAUCCUAACCCAGCCACGACGAGCCCUAACCACCACUACCCCUCUACAUACAUACACAUACACACACACCUGCUCGCAGCACUUGGCAUUGGACUCGACCGCAGCCAUAUCGCGAUCGAAGUGGUGCUCGGCGCAGUGAGGUCGGGGGUGGGCAAGAUCCCGGGUCACCACCUGGAAUGUGAACCAGAUCAAAAAAAGGAUUCAGGAUCCAGAAUCUAGCAAGAAUGGGAUUGAGGAGGCGGGUUAAGAAGGUUGCGGGGUACGGUGCUGGGGGGGUGAGGGGGGGGAAAAGAAUGAGGGAUGUUUCUGAGGGUUUGGCAUGGUUCGGCACAGUCAGGGAUUUUGGGGGUGUUUUGGGUGGGCCCCAGUAAGAGUGAGAAACUGGUGCGGGAUGAGGAUGAAAGGACCGCGGAGCCUUGGAGGGUAGGACGGGGGAGCUGGGGAUGGAGGAAAGGUUGAGAUUCAUACUUUUUCUACUUUUUCAAAGGAUACACGUUUCAAAGCCUGACCAAAACUUAAAGGAGCAGGCUCCUCACCUGUCCCACCAUACCCACGAUGCGAAGCUCCUCAUCGGAUUCUAGAUCGUCACCAUCCUCCGGCUUGUCGCUAAGAGGAGGCUUGUUGACCGCUAUCUUCGGAGAUGGCUGGCGAAUGCAAGGUCGCUUGGCCUGCUGCUGUGAAGCAGCCCCAUCACGGUCGUUGCUUUGGAAUUCACCCACUAUGACAACGUCGCUGUCGUCCGAUGAGGCGCUUGUCGUUGGCGGUGAGACAACGCAUCGCCUCCGGUUUCGGGAGCCCGCAGGCUUACCCUGGCCACCACCAUCAGGGCUCCUAAUCUCGUUGCUUGCAACGCUAUCGUUCUGUUCGUCGUCACUGGUUGGCGCCGGUGAGUUGUUGUUGUUCAAGUGUUCAUGUUGCGAUUCUGAGGCGACGGUUCUCCGAAGUCGCCUACGGCUUCUUUGAGAAAUAAGAGUUGCCGCUUGGAGCUUCUUGUCGCAUGCUUGAGAUGCUGGCUCCUUGAAACGAGCCCUUGUGCGAAACGCGAUGGCGUCCAUGUCGAUGGGUCUAUGCCUCCUAAACUGAACCGUGAUAAGUUUAGGAAAGCUUACAUAGCGCGGAAACUCGCCAGCAUAGCCCAAUCGCAAUGGCCGAGUCGGUGCUGCCUGCGUUCCCUGUGUAACGUCUACGUUUCAGUUCAUUUGCGCCCCAGUACUAAUACAGUAACAGAAUAAGGCAAAACGAUGUUUUCUGUGGGAGGAAACCCAUAUGUUUACAACCUCGCUUGUUUCCAACCGCCACCGCAGCGAAGCGAUGGUUUGGUUAACUUCGCAACGCUUCCUGGUGUACGGAGCGCCUCAAUCAAUAACGCAGCAGCACAUAAUGAGCACACAAGAACAGCACGUGGAAAUAAGACCUCAAGCCUUAAACCUUCAGUUAUGCAACGGACUGCCCCAAAGCGCCGUACGUGCCUGAAUGCGGUUACGUAAAAGAGAAACCCGGUUCAAAUCUAACCCUACUCCCUGCGUGACCGCACUCAGCUCAUGCCUCCAUUAAACCCUCGAGCUUCAUUUAUCCUGCCUUAUAAGCCCUGAGCCCCAGAAAACCAACUUCGCAUUUCAUGACUUUCCAUCCCCUACGCACGAAAAACACCUAUCCCCCACCCAUCCCCUCACUUGCAACCCACAAACGAAAUGGAAAGCCUAACCUGGCAACAGAGCAUCCGUACAGUCUUCCUGACUACUUUCCGACUUCUCCUACAAAGAAAUCGUUUAUAUUCUGCUGCUGCUCCCACAACACAGGUUCAUCUUCCAGUACAAAGUGUAUAUGCAUUGUAAGAAGAAGCUACAAGGCAGCUCAAGCGCCUUCCUUCCCAGCCUCUGAUGUCUUGAUGUGGAUGCCUUGGAAUUAUCAAAUCCAUCUCCCGACGGAAUGGCGGCGCACCGAAAGCGGUUGGAAGGGAACCGAGGGGAACUCAGAUAAUUCCCCCCCUUCGGAAUGUGUUACAGGGUCCACUGGAUCCAUAACGCCAGCGGCAACAAUAUCCCCAUCGGCGCCAACAACAGCAGUAGGCAGCGAUAUAGCGGCAGUACGGCUCACAGCUGCAGUUUAGCUGCCGCAAAGCAGGGAAAGAAGUCAUAACAACACACAACGAAAACCGUUUACCCGAUGAUAUAUGAUGCAGCCAAAGGCCGUUUCCCCUUGAAGAUGAAGAAGAUGCGAUGUGCCACAGCAUCCCGCACAAAUUUUGCAGCACUCUGUCGUACUAUGCCGUACAUUACGGUACUUCUUCACACACGGUAACCCCUGCGUGAAAAAAAACAGGAUGCGAGAUGAAUGACAUAAACAUAAAAAACAUGCCGUACACCCUGCUGUACAGGCUGUGCUGUACACCCCCUGAACAUAAAAGGUCUCUCCACUCGAUGAACUUGCCUCCAGCCGAUCCUCCCGCUGUCGGAAGAUUCGUCCGUGCGUGCGUGCGUGCGUGCGGAAACAUUUCCCAUAAAUCAAUUUAUUCACUUCUCGGCUGUGACUUACCUAUAUUGCUGUGAACAAGGAACUGAAAUGGUCAGUCUGGCUGCGGGCAGAGACACAGCGGCCCCCCCCCCUCAUAUUGCCGUACUUGUUCGUACACCAUGACGUGGCACUACCAACGUUCUCGCCCUCAUCGUAGCUAUCAUCACAUCCUAAUACUCGCAUCCCUUUUACAGCUAUAAAUCAUAACACGUGUUAUUUCAACAAAAAAAAACCGCGUCCCACUGAACCGCAAAAAAAAACACGUCCUCCACUGAGCCGCGACCUAUAUAAGUCUUAUACCUUGCCUUCGCGGCGCGGCUCAUCACCGGCUGUGACCGUUCCCCAACACGGCUCGGGUCUCUCACUCGCUUACAUAUUUUCCCUGUCCACCUACCUACCUAACUUCCUGACCUUCUACCUGACUUCCAAACUGACAACUGCCAACUGCCAACCGACCUAACCUCCCUCGUGACGGCGGCCAUUAUGCAAAUCGUGGUGGCGGUGCCACGUGGUGGCCUCGUAUUAUCUUGGCGAGCUUCUAAUAAAGACGUGCCAGACAGGCAGCAGCACAGGAAUGGCCCCGUCAUGGCUGCGGCGAAAGCGAAAGCUGUAGGGACGGCGGCAGUAGCAGCAGUAGCGUGUUGUCCUUCACGUUUGAGCUGGCUUCGCGAGAGUCCUGCUACAGCCAAAGGUACGAUUGUGCUGAUGCUGCUGCCAGCAGAGGCAUCGUCGCCGUCGCCUCCGGCCUCAUCCCGCCGGCGGCCUCGGCCGUCGCUGCAGGUGCCCCCGCCGCCGCUAGCUGCGGUGGCGGCACUCCGGCGUCCGCUUGCGGCUGUACUGCUGCUGUACUGCUGCUGUACUGCUGCUGUACUGCGGCUUUUUUACUUCCGCCGCAAUGCCCUGCAAUGAGGUUAGUCACUGGCAUCAUAAGCCGAUGUGCCUUCCAACGCAAUUCCCAAACUCAAUUGCUCAAUUUGAUGACCCUGAUCCUGAUCUUUGUGCUCCUGCUGCUCCUGCUCCUGCUGCUGCGGCUCCUGCCUCUGCUGCUGCUGCUCUUCUUCGUGCUGGCUUUGAUGCUGUUCAAGUUCCCCCUGUCCUUGCUGCUGCUGCUGCGGCGGCGGCUGCUCUUCGUGCUGGCUUUGAUGCUGUUCAAGUUCCCCCUGUCCUUGCUGCUGCUGCGGCGGCGGCGGCUGCUCUUCUUUGUGCUGGCUUUGAUGCUGUUCAAGUUCCCCCUGUCCUUGCUGCUGCUGCUGCUGCGGCGGCGGCGGCUGCUCUUCUUUGUGCUGGCUUUGAUGCUGUUCAAGCUCACCCCGUCCUUGCUGCUGCUGCUGCUGCGGCGGCUGCUCCUCUUGUGGGCCCAAAUAACGUGACAACCGAAGCUUCAGUCGUACACGCCGUACCGGGAGUCCACUUCCGGAGGCCCCCUUGCCGACUUCAUCAUCGAGGCCGAGGCGGCUGUCGCCGCCCCUGGCGGCCCCCUCCCUGCCGGCCCCGGCGUCUCCGUCCUUUCCGGCCCGGUUGGCGAUGCUGUCGCCGAUACCGUCUGCCGAGCGUCCUUCAAUCACUGGCCCUUUUGCCGACCCCUACACCGACGAUGAUGGGGGCCCCGUAACCGACUCCUCAUCCAACCUAGGCUCUAUCGCACACGCAUCAGAAAGUGCUCCCCCUCCUCUUCUCUCUCCUCCUGCUGCUGCUGCUACUGCUGCUGCUUCACCUCCACAGCUUUCCCCGCUACCUCCCCCGCCCACAGGAACGACUCUAAAGGCUGCAGCUGCUGCUGCUGCUGCUACGGCAUCCAAAGAUAGCCCUACACGCUCGCCCGACGUCAUGGUCGCCGCCGCCGCGGCUGCGUCCUCCACCUCCUCCGCCUCCUUCACCUCCUCCGCCUCCUCCAACUCCUCCGCGUCCACCGCUGCUAUCUUGGCAGGGCUGCCUGUGCGAGCAGCUACAGCACCGCCGUUGGCGGCGGCGGCGGCGGUGGCUUCGGCGGCGCUGCCGCCGCCGGUAUUGCCACUGCUACGAAGCGCUUGGACGCUGUUUACACGGACGGCGUGCAGAGCCUGAGCACCUGACGUCAUGUUUUGGGCGGCGCUGAGCAUCUCCUCUAGAAAUGAACGCAUAUCCUCGUCAUCCAGAGAAAUCACAACCGCCGGCGACUGUGCCGCCGCCGCAACCUGUUGUUGCUGCUGUUGCUGCUGCUGCUGCUGCGGUGACGUUGGUGAUUGCUGCCUCAGCCGACUGAGGCUCAGCGGUACGGUAAAUCUCCACGGCUCCGCCACCGCCACUGCCGCCGCUGGCAACGACGUCGACGCUGGCGCUGGCGCCGGCUGGGCCUGGGACUGAGCAUGGGAAUGUCUCAUAUGCGCAUGAGGGGGAUUCGAACCGGGGUUCAUGACGUUGCUGACGUUGUUGACGUUGGUGAAGGUGGAGGGCGGAAGGCGGUUUGCAUGGUCCGUGUGACUCAUGCCUGUACGGAAAAGAAAACGGAGACGCGAAGCUUCUUUAGUAGGGCGGCCAGCGUAACGAGUUAGUCAGUCAGUCAGUCAGUCAGUCAGGUUUUGGGAACACCGUCGUGUGCCAACAGCAUGCGAGUNNNNNNNNNNNNNNNNNNNNNNNNNNNNNNNNNNNNNNNNNNNNNNNNNNNNNNNNNNNNNNNNNNNNNNNNNNNNNNNNNNNNNNNNNNNNNNNNNNNNNNNNNNNNNNNNNNNNNNNNNNNNNNNNNNNNNNNNNNNNNNNNNNNNNNNNNNNNNNNNNNNNNNNNNNNNNNNNNNNNNNNNNNNNNNNNNNNNNNNNNNNNNNNNNNNNNNNNNNNNNNNNNNNNNNNNNNNNNNNNNNNNNNNNNNNNNNNNNNNNNNNNNNNNNNNNNNNNNNNNNNNNNNNNNNNNNNNNGGAGGAAGGGAGGAAGGGAGGAAGGGAGGAAGGAAAAUUUGCACAUUAGGAUAUGAAGGAAAGUGCCAGAGAUCUGGAAAAAUAUACGACGGUGUACACGCGAUUUGGGACCACAGAAACAUCACAGAAUGGUAUGGAAGCCAAAAAGAGACAGAAGGCAAUAAGUACGUUUUAAGAUGGCAUCCAACUCUUAUCUUUGGUGGUCGGCGGGUUGGGUGUGUACAAUGGAGAUGGUCGCGAUGUGCGUCACCUGUCGCUGUGUCACAAUCAUGUACACGACAACUCUCCCGUAUCCCCUUCGCUGCCAUACCUGAGCCCCAGCUCCGGCACUGCCUCGCCAUUGACCCGCAAGCGCAACACACGCACUGCGCCGGUGGUUUGGGGAGGGUGCGGUCGCGGUCGCGGUUGCGGUUGCGGACAGUAUGCACGGGUGACGGAGGGCCCGACACGGGGAGCGUGUCGUACGGCGUGUACGGCAUGACAGUCCGCGGCCCAUGCGAGGAGAAGGAAAACCCGGGGCCGGAAACCUUGUUGUACUGCAAGGUAUGCACUACACGGAAUGGAAUGCGGAAGCAUCUUGUCCACACGUCGAUAGCAAGCACUCGCGCACCGGCGACGCACCACUGCCUUCAGCGACCCACGGGUCGAUCUACGCGUGACUGACCCACGGCUUUUAAUAAUCAACAACUCGCAUCGCCCAAAAGGGUUUGGAAGACGUACUACCUACUGACCUACAUAUGCCGUCCCGCCCUCACCGACCCGCGGGUCGCACCCCACAUAGAUAUCCACACACACCUCUGCACACCUGCAUCCAACCCUCUCGCCACGCACCCUCUCGCCGCACCUCACCUGCGCGCAGCACAUCCAGUUCUCCCGGCACCUCGCUCCUGGCCGGAAGGGGUAACUCGGGCAGAGCGGCCGCAGGUGAUGCUGCGGGGGCCCCCCGGCGGGGUGAACACCACCAGCACCACCGACUGCCAGUCGUCCGCCGUCCCCAUCCCCAUCCCCCGGCCAAAAAGAAGGGAGAGAAAUGCCGCCGCCGCCGGCGACGUUGGUGGCUGCCGCCGCCACCACCGCCGGUCCCCGCUGCUGCGGCUGUGGCGCCUUCCGGCCCUCGAACUCGGCGGCUAGGAGCUCCCUUUUCGCAACCGGGUCGCGCGUGUUCCGGACGGCCACGCGAAGUCUGCUCCAGGGACAGCCGGGUCGGGCGUUGGCGUGAUCGCGCGAACUAGCACCUACAGCGGCAGUUGCACAUUUGAAUUUGAAAACAUCAAUCAUCGCUAACACCAAAAAAAAUUAAUAAAAAAGAAACAGAAAAGUUGGUUAAAAUGGAUAUUGUAAAACGAAUAGAAAGACCGUACAGAUACCUUCUACAAGACCAAUAAUAAUAAUAAUAAUAAUAAUAAUAAUAAUAAUAAUAAUAAUAAUAAUAAUAAUAAUAAUAAUAAUAAUAAUAAUAAUAAUAAUAAUAAUUGGCUCAUAAUUGUUGUUUGUUUUCUACUAGUCGUUCGUUAGUUAUCAAUUAUAGCAUCAAGUCAUUAUGAAAGGUUUUGCUGUACUGUGAGCAUGUGUGUACUACACGGUUUGCGGACAUAAACGUCCGUACAAUGCCGUACCUGUGCCCCAGAACUGACACUCCGACGCCUUCACAUCGCACACGAAGCAGUAGCACUGAAGAGUUGGUGGAAAGGGAAGCGAAGCGGAGCGGAAAGAGGGACGGUGCAAGGAUAAGUCAGAGGUGAGUAGGAAAUAUCUUAAGGCGCAGCGAACUGGAGCUCUCACAUCCAGCGUCACAUGCGAGACGGCGUUACAGGAGCAAAAACGAAUUACGAAUCAAAACGCCAGGAUCCACACGCGGGAAUACGAAAAACACGGAAUUUGGGUUCCAUUUGGCUGUUGAGAUCCAAUCUUAAAAUUGCAUGCGACAAUGGCCUGCUAAAACCAUAACAGGGAUAAUCAUAUAAUAUAUUAUUACUUGCCUGCUUGCAGAAAGAUGCGUUAGCGAGAAUUCCACCGUUGUUGACACUGCCGCCGCCGCCGCCGCCGCCGCCGCUGCUGCUGCUGACCGCGCUGGCCGGGACUCUAAACUUGAACUCAAAACAGUCGUGCCGUGGAUGCGGCAGAUCGCGGGUGGGUACCUAGGGAGGGAGCGUUACGAAUGCGGUUACGAAGGCAGGUAUAGCGGAUACGCUGCCGAGCUGGAACCGAAACCUGACCCCAACCGCCAACUACCAACAAACCUUCACACACAUACACAGAGAGAGUAAGUGCACGCACACGCCUUUGAUGCACACCCCCCCUGAUCAUCCAUCAUUCAUCAUUCACCAUCCAUCCAUGAUCAUUGGGGAAAUCAUCACCACGCGUUAAUACACGCAUGCGUCCCUCCCCCUCCCGCACCCUUCACACCAACCGACCUGGCCCUUCAUCUGCACCACUUCCACAUCGGAGUCGGAUCUACUGUCCUCGCCGCCACCACCUUCAUCGGCGUCACGCGCGGCGGCGGCAGCGGCGACGGCGACCCCGCCACCGCAAGCUUCCGCUGCGGCAGCGUCAAAACCGCCCCCGCCCCCGCCACCGCCACCGCACGGGUUGGCGUCGGUAGCUUCCGCGAUGGGUACUGCUGCCGGCAUUGCGGCGGUUGUUGCCGUCGCCACUCGUCCCGCCACGACACCAUGUGCGGCUGCGAUGAUGGCGUUGAUAGCAUCUUGGUUAUCGGGCUGGUCGGGCGCAGCAGGGGAAGGGACGCUGGGAUUAGCCGCUCUGUCUUUAAGCUCGGCUGCUCUGUUUUUGGAGUUGAACGCUCCGUUGUUGUUGGCACCGUUCCUGAAUUGGUGUGGGCCCUGCUCCAGGGCCACCGUUCCACCGAUAGAAGACAUGUGGCCGCCCAUCCUGGGGUUAGCUGACCCACGGCGGCCACGUUGUCCACAACCUACGUUUCCCGGACUAUUUAUUUCGGAUUCUUCGCUUUCGGUAGCAGCAUCGCCGUCAUCGAUGCUGCUGUCAUCUGAGCUGUCCAGGAGCUCGAUGCAUUCUGGCUGGGCUGCGACGCGAGCGGCCGCGUGAGCCCGGGCGCGCUUGGGCGAAGGCUGAAGACCCUCAAUAUCCAGAUCGUCAUCGCCCGUGAGAUCGAUUGUGAAGCUGCCGCUCCGGCGCCCUAAAUGCGCAAGGCCCGACAUAAAAUUCAGGGAAGGCAAAUGAGUUCCUAGGAUUCAAACCAUUAAGGUUAAUCUUAAAAGGCUUUAAUAAAGUGACGCCUCAGAAAACGCCCGUCGAAAAUGAAACGCAAGUAACUAACUGAACCAUCAUUUCACAAGAUGUUUUGGCUGCGAAACUUAUGGCCUAACAGAGCACCUCAUGUGGAUGAGUAUUGCUUGCAUCGGUUAGUCGCGGAGCACAUGAAAAAACACAGGGGAUCGCCGUACGGUGGUUGACACCCAGUGCCCCUUCUGAGCAAAACAUGAGAGCCCGUCCCGCAUGCGCGUUUAAGUUCAUAUAGGUUAACCUGUUGGCUUUGGCCGAAGCCUUUUAGUGCCGACACUGCAAGGAUAGUUUGCUGCAACACCCCUCUCGACGCUGAAGCUGUGAGCUUAAGGAAGAAUGCGCGGCCUUAUGCAAGAAACCCCUUUAAACGUAUGCCAGAUUCUUGACUACGCUGCCAAAUGGCAUCCCGAGCAGCUUGUGAUAUCAAAGAGCGUGGAGGGCCCCGUCCUCUCCUACUCCUACGCGGAGCUUCACAAGCGCGCCCGACUGUGCGCCAUCGCCCUGGGGCAGCUAGGAGUCAAGUAAGCGUCUUUCUUCCUACAAAGUUAUAUCGUAUUAGGGGAUAAGACAGGCUUUGCCCGGCAGUGUGCCGAGUGCGUCGUUUAUCGGCUUUCGCAGCGCAGGAGGGAAAAAAUCUUCGCUUGUAGCUAUGGAGUUUAAAUGCUCAAUUUACUAGUCCUAUCAGGAGUUCCGCAGCUUAGUUUGUGGUAGCACGCUGUCCAGCUCCAUUUACACGUCGGCAUGGCAGCUGCUCUUUUGUGCGGUUUUCACUGCACAAAAUGCUCAUAUCUUAUAAUCCCUGUAUCAUAUAGCUUGCGCCUGGAGGGCCUCGCAGCGAGUCCGUCCUUGUUGGACUUUGCGACAACAUGAGUCGGCAAAAUUCUAUAACUCACAAAAAUGAAAUAAGAAUCGGAACGUAAACAUUUUUUUCAUAGUACUGGCUUUCUCUUGCACGUCUUUUGUAACGCAGGAAGGGAUCCUUCGUGGCUACCUUGGCUUGGAACACGUCACGGCACAUGGAAGCGUGGUACGGCAUUAUGGGUUGCGGAGCGAUCUGCCACACGCUAAACCCGCGCCUCUCGGUCAAGGACCUCACCUACGUUGCGCACGACGCCAAGGUAGUUUUUACUGACUCUGUGCAAGAGUCAGUAGCACUUGUUGUUACACCGGGUUUCUAAGCUUCUAAGCCUAUAGGAGCAGCCAGCCUGAUGCUGCAUGAACCGUAGACACUAAAAGGACACCAACUACUCCGUAACGGUACACACAUACACACACACCUACAGAACAGCCUCGCCGUAGACUAAGACCGAGGCUAGCACCGAUACCGAUCGAGGGACCGUAGGCCUGAUGCGGCGAAACCAUUUAAUCGCGCCCCAAAAAGUAAACCAUCGUUCUGUGGACUGCUCAAUCCGUGAUUUGGGCCUGGCGCGCGGCUUCCUGUACCGGUGUACUGGCGCUUGCACCAACCGACGCCCCGUCUCCACCGCGCUAAUAACCGCCGAAAGGAUGACCGCGUCCCACACACUUUGUGUUGCAUUUCCGUCGGAGGCCGCCCCUCCUGCGGCCAAACCUCCCAAUGGGAUAUUGCCCCUGCGGGCGUCCGAGUCGAAUGCUUGAGUCGGUAGGAAUUCUUUUUUCACGAUAAGGCGUGAAAGCCUCGGGACCCCCCUGUGGUACACACAUGUCGAUAUUCGUGGUGGCAUAUGUUGUAUAAUAUUAUAUGUGUGGUUUUCGCGCACGCGCUUUCACCGUCGGGCAAGGGCUUACGUCCCGGUGCCGUACUGCUUGCCGUGUCUACAUCCGUCGUACAGGACGAGCUGAUCAUUGCAGAUGCAACUAUGGUGCCGCUUCUGGAGAAGGUUCUGCCCGGGGUGCCCUCGAUCCGUACUGUCGUACUACUGACGGACAGGUGUGUGUUUUUCACUUCGUGGGGAAGCGUAAAAGGCCCCCGGGCGCGGAAGAGAUACUCCCCCACACUCCCACGUAUCACGUAUAUAUGUAUCGAUGUAUGUAUGUAUGUAUGUAUGUAUGUAUGUAUGUAUGUGUACGUAUGUAGGAAAUUUGCCAAUAGAAGGUGGAAUGCUGCAAAACGGGGAAGGUGCCGACAGUCCGUCGAUCCGACAAUCCAAAUCACACAGUCGGUUGGGUGGUGCAUGGUGCAUUGUCGGGUAUCAACCUUUUACGGAAUUCGUACGCGAUUCGUACAGCUUUCGUACACUUCCACACAGGCUGAAUAUGCCGUCCCCGGCUGCCCUGGCUGCGCUGGUGGGCGGUGGUGGUGUUGGCGGCGGCGGCGGCGGCGGUGGCGGCGGGGGGCCGAAAGGGCUGUCGGUGGUGGUCCACUGCUACGAGGACUUGUUGGGGGGUGCAGCUGCCCUCCCUGGAGCGCUGGAGGCGUUCUGUUGGGCCCAGGUGAGCAUGAGGGGCCCACCAGGCGAGGCGUACGACACGCACGUGUUUCUUUCUUGUAAUCGUUUGCAUAAAUUGCGCGUGACCGUGUGUGGAUUUGGGUUUUAUCUGGCCUCCCAGAGGCCAGAUUUCCGAGAGGUACCUGGCCAAUGCCAGAGGUGGCGCCUCAGUCAUAAUGGUGCGCAUGCUGCGCCCCUUAAAGGAUAGGUCACCAUCGUACUUAGCCCGUAUGCUCUUGUAAGCGUUGCAUUCAGCAAAAACGUGCAACUCAUCUUCAACCGCUCCGCAGUCACAAGGCCAGCAGGUACGCGCGGUGCGCCCGCGCCCAUUAGGGCGAUUGACCUCUAACUCCCAACAGCCUAACCGGAAAACGCAUGAGCCUGACGCAGGCAGGGCCGCUCCCAACCAGGUCAUAAAGCGACAAGUCAUUGCUUUAAUAAAUCCUAUCAGGAAUGACAUUGUAAUAGUUCAAGAAUUUCGUACCAAAUUGUUCGAAUAUAAAGUUCUCCAACAUCUUUUCUACGCCCAAUGUGGGGCUCGAACCCACGACCACAAGGUUAAGAGCCUUGCGCUCUACCGACUGAGCUAACCGGGCAAGCUGAUGAACAAUUGUCGCUUUGAAUAGUUAUUGAAUAUGGAGCAACGAUAAACAUCCUUAUGACGACCAUUUGAAAUGGCUCUUCCCCCAAACCUUCUGAUUUUUUCCGUACAAUUGGUAUGCGGCAUGUGCGGCAGGUUGAUGAGUACGACGCUUGCGGCAUGUGUUAUACGAGCGGCACUACCGGCAACCCCAAGGUAUACGACACAUUGCAAGGGCAUUGCCGCUUGCCCGCCGAUGUGACCGUACGGUUUGACUCGACCAGGGGGUACAAUACUUAGAACCGGUCUCUGACAUGGCACGUACAUCCGUACACGUUGUUGGGGCACCCUCGAGAGCCGGGCCUUCGGGACAUCGCCGGCUUCCGGUUUCUAACUGAUGAUUGUUGCAUAUUGCAAUUCGCAUGGUGUUCGUCACUCGAGGUGGUGGCCGUUUCCCUGGAGGUGACGUGUUUUUGAUUUCCCCUCGCUCCCCAUGCCGCCCCCUCCCCCGGGGCAUAACCGGCCCGGAGGUGUCGCUAAAUAUUACCUUCCCUUGCCUUGGUUGUCGUACACUAUUGUACUGCCGUACUGCAGGGCGUACUUUACUCGCACCGUGCAAAUUACCUGCACGCGCUGCUGCUGCUCCAGGUGGGUGCGGGGGAGUGGUGACGUGUCUGUUUGUGUGUCUGUGUACAGCAUGUUUGUCGCACACACGCACAUUAGUGUGGAUGCAAAACCCUGCCGAUGAAUUGAUCAAUAGUUUAUCAUCACGGUGUUUUUGUACCGCCAACACUAGCCAACCCCCCCGGUACGGCAAGUUGCGUCAUUGAUUUGAAAUCCAGUGACAGCCGGUGCCCGGACUGUUGCAAAUGUAAUGUCUUGCCACCACUCCCCCCCUUCUCUCCCCCCCUUCUCUCCCCCCCUUCUGGGCCCCCAAAACCCCCACACCCCACCACCGCAGGCGGACAGUCUGCCCCUCUCCGCCUCCUCCUGCUGCCUGGCCGUGGUCCCCAUGUUUCACGCCAAUUCCUGGGGACUGGUGUUCGCGGCGCCGAUGGUGGGUGCAAGAUUGGUGCUGCCAGGUACGUUUGUGUAUGUGUGUGUAUGUAUGUGUGUGUGAGGGGGGACGUUCCUGGGGAUUACCGGGCUAAGGGCCGGGAAGCCGGCUCCUAAAAAGUAGCGUCAUUCACAUCAGCGGGUAGUGGAAAGGAAAGUGAGUGUAGUCCCCCCCGAACCCCCCGGGGGCGCAUGCCGCCACCCCCGUAGUCUCACAGCUGUACGGCAUCCAUGACAGCUGGACUUGACUCAAGAUAUGCCCUCCCCCAUGCGUUGCUGGUUGUGUGUGUGUAUGUAUGUAUGUAUGCAUGGUUCUGCACCUUUCCGCCAACCUCCGGCACCAUCCGGUAUCUAACCCCCAGGAUUCGUUUUCUCGUCUCCUCAUUCCUCCCCCUCGAUUUCCCCUCGCAAUCCCGCUCCUUAAACCCCCUCCCUCCAUCCCCCCAACCCCCUUCCCCCCUCCCCUCCCACUCCCCCUUCCCUCCACCGCACCCGGGGCCGCGGGGCUGUGGGUGCUCCGUGAUAAGGCCCCCAUCUGGACGGUGCCUCCAUCUACUCCCUGAUGGAGACGUACGGCGUUACCGUAUCAGCCGGAGUACCAACCGUAUGGUUGGCGCUAUUGUCGUACUGCGAGGAGCACGGUCUUACAUUAUCCACCCUCCGUAUCGCGUGUAUUGGGGGAGCGGCGGCGCCGCUGAGCAUGUUGGAGGCGUUUGAGAUCAAGUAUGUGGUGGCUGCGAUUCAUCAUAUGUCAGGUUGUGCACUGACGUACGACAUGUCCUGAGACAGUCGUACAUCCCCUGAUACAGGACCUUGAGAACGUUUUCCCUCUCUUCCCCAUUCUCUUUCCCCAAUCCGAAUUUUCCUUCCACGCGUGAUAGGCCCUUGUACCUCCCCCCGCCCCGCCCUGCCCUGCCCUACAACCGUGUUCAGGUUAGAAAUAAACGUCCCACCCCACCCCACCCCACCCCACCCCGGCCCCCGUUGAAGGGACUAAUGGGCAGCUGGUAGUCCCCAAGACGUCGACAGUUGAAGUCCUUUGCUUGCAUGCAUUUCUCCCCCUCGCGCUCUCCACCCUUCCAAACGCCCCCAGAGCCCACCCCGUGUUUUUCGUCCUUGUAUUCGCUAUAUCUUUUAUUCGCUUAAAAUAUUUCCGAAUAAAAUAUUUCCGAAUAAAAUAUUUCCAAAUAAUAUUCUCCCCCUUCGCUCCACGCCUCGCUGAACAGACACGGUGUGGAAGUACGGCACCUGUGGGGUAUGACCGAGCUGACUCCCCUGGGUACGGUAGGCAAUCCCAAACCCGCAUCUACCGGCGGCCGUACACGGCCUGCCAGCGGCCUCGCCGCCACGUCAUCGCCCUCGCCAUCCGCCGCCGCCGCCGCCGCUUCUUUCCGUACUGCCUACCUGGGUGCCAAACUGAAGCAAGGUCGGCCCCACGUGCUGUGCGACAUGCGGAUAGUGGACGAUGCUGGGCGGGAGCUGGCGCACGAUGGCAAGACGGUGGGGCAUCUGCAGGUGAGGUGCGUGUAUGUAUGUAUGUGUGUAGGUGUGUGUACGUAUGUGUGUGUAUGUGUGUGUAUGUGUGUGUAUGUGUGUGUAUGUGUGUGUAUGUGUGUGUAUGUGUGUGUAUGUGUGUGUAUGUGUGUGUAUGUGUGUGUAUGUGUGUGUAUGUGUGUGUAUGUGUGUGUAUGUGUGUGUAUGUGUGUGUAUGUGUGUGUAUGUGUGUAUGUGUGUCUAUGUGUGUGGCAGGGUAAAGGGAGGGAAACUAAGAGAAGGAAAGGGGAGAGAGAGAGAGGGUUGGGGGCGGAAGGGAGGGCUUGAGUGGAGGUCUCUUUAGGAGUUGUUAUCAGUGUGCUUGUGUGUGUGUGGGGGGGUGCGUUCCCCGUACCUGUGGUGUGUUUUUCUGUGUUUGUAUGCAUGUUUGUUUGUUUGUUUGCAUUUCUUGAUAAGACAUGAAUCACCCUUUUCAAAUGAGUGAAAUUCGAAACGGGUCGAACGGGAAGAGGCAAUCCGUACGGAGGCUGCAAAACAAUUUUGAUAAAGAAAACACACUCACACAUACACACACAUUCUUGCAACAGAUAUGGCAUUUUAUCCAACAGAGGCACACAUUUGAAUUCACACGAAUCUCCAUCCGUACAAUCACAACUGUGUCGUACACAUAUCCGUACAUAUAUUCGUACAUUUUACUUACAACAUUCUUCCGUGCACACAGGUCCGUGGGCCUGCGGUGGUUGCCCGUUACUUCAAGUCCGACAAGUCUGCGGUGAACGGCGACAACUGGUUCCCCACGGGGGACGUAGCCUCCAUCGACCCCUUGGGCUACAUGACCAUCACGGAUAGAUCCAAAGAUGUGAUUAAAAGUGGUAUGUACGGAAGGUGUAUACGGCAGUACGACAAGUGUGCCAACGAACGUCGUCAUCCCCUUGUAUUUGGGCUUCUUUUCUUUUAGGGUUUUAGGGUUUUGUUGCCUCUCCUCACUCGACCCCCGUUUCCCCCUUCCACGGUUUUGCUCUGUGUAUCAACCCCCCAGGCGGGGAGUGGAUCAGCAGCAUCGAGAUUGAGAACCUCGCGAUGGUGGGGGAAAUACUGUACUGAUGUGUAUCGGUGUGUACAUGGAACACAGAUGUGUAUUGAACUGCCGUGCAGUUUAGUCGCAGCUGUGCAGUUCGGUGAAGUUUGGUUGAAACUCGAUGAAGUGCACUAAAACCUAAAACCGAAACAUGUGGCCUCAAACCUAAACCUGCCUAAACCCUAAAACCCUAAAACUUUAAAACCCAUGUAGGGCUGCUCUGGAGUGGCGGAGGCUGCAGUGAUCGCCAUUCCAGACGACCGGUGGGGCGAGCGGCCGCUGCUAGUGGUGGUGCCACGUCCCGGGUUCGAACCCGACGCGGAACUGCGAGAUUCCAUUCUCAAGUACCUGUCCGAGCGAUUGGCCAAGUGCGUGGUUCCCUACGUCCUUGUGUUUGUCCGCCUGCCCGACCCAGCCUUGCUGGCCGACUAUCAGUCUGUGUGUGUAUGUAUGUAUGUGUGUGUGGGUUGUAAUGAUCUGUAUAUAUGAUGUGUGAAACAGGGGGGUGUAUCUUCGCCCGUGGCAGCUACCCUGCGAAACCCUGCCUUCCCCGGUAUUUCGGGGCACCCUCAUCCAGUCACCCUAGUCAACUUCUCAGUGGAUCGCUCAGGUUCCGCACCCACCACCAGCAUCCAACGGAAUCUGCCGGGUCGACAGCGGCCCAACUCCGUUCCUGGUCGGCUCGCAGGUUAACUUUAUCCCAGGUCACCACCGUCCAUCAACUAGGGGCGCAAUGCCUUCCACCAUCGGAAGGACUUUGACCCUAACGGGUAUCGAUCCCGGGAUCUCCCGGGGGCAAUGGUCGCGCCUUACCAGUGGUGCCAAACCCUCUAUGUAUGUAUGUAUGUAUGUAUGUAUGUAUGUAUGUAUGUAUGUAUGUGUGUGUGUCCUCCUGUCCUCCUGUCUUUUGUUUGUCGUAUUGGGUUGAAGGGUUGAAGGGUGCUUAUAGGCGAUAUGCUAAAUAGGAAACAUGCCUGCCAGCACGCCUGCAUCAGUGAGCUACAGGAGGUGAAUUUGCCUCCUGGGUAGCCAGAAGUGAAGAAAGAAGAAACACACCCUUCCACUCUUCAUAUUCCCCAUGUACAUAUAUCUGACACAUAUAAAAAAGUGUGUACCACGCUGCGGUCCCUACGUGCCCCUACAUGACUCCGAAACCAAGCCAGUCUAGCCAACCUCCCCUUGCGUCACCCUCCACCACCUCCGGGUGGCCGCCUCCAAUCCGCUGCGUCGCCGCCAUGACGGUACACGCAAGGCAUCCAAGCGAGCAGAUUAGCUGACAGAUAUACGCACAUACGCUGGGUCACACCUUACCUGCACUUCACCAACCCUACACACACACACAUCCCCCCCCACCCCUACACGGCCCCCCACCCCCCUACACACACGGCCCUUCACACACACACACACGGCCCCUCACACACACACAUCCCCCCACACCCCUACACGGCCCCCCACCCCCCUACACACACCCCCCCCACACCACCCCCCUCACACACACAUAUCCCCCCACACCCCUACACGGCCCCCCCACCCCCCUACACACACCCCCCCCCACCCCCCCCCACACACACAUACACACACACCCCACAAACGCCCUCACAUCCCCGCUGACCCACGCAAACGCAACGCAGGGCCCCGGCGUUGCUGUCCCCGCCAUAACGCAACGUUGGCUCCCCAUAUACCCUCACUAUGUCACCAGUAAGGAGCCCCAUGUCACAUGUGUGACAUGUCACGUCGUGUGUUCACGCAAUGUGCACAUGCGCAGGUUCGCUGUCCCCGACGACGUGGUCUUCGUGCCCCAGAUUCCCCACAACGCCACAGGCAAGGUGUCCAAGCUCACACUGCGGGACAUGUUCAAACACCACCGCGCACCGCCGCGCCCCAAAUUGUAAUUUCGUUGCGGCGGUUUCAAUAUCUUCAAAUUGCACAGGACAGCAACUUGUCUUUUGUUUUAAGACAAGUUGCACUUGUGCUUGUAGUUUUGUUUAUUACCACUGUUUUUGUUGGAAAUGACCGACACUCAUACACCAAUGAAUGGUAACCACAGUAAUAGGGCCCGGCGGGGGUACGGCGCUUUAACAGGGUUUUAACAGUUUUCGCACACAGCUGUACAUGUUAUAAUCUGGGUUGAAGAAUGAAUCGACGUUCUGCUGCUUGAGCCCGGGGUUUAUUUAGCUCCUGUAUGUAUGGUACCUAAUCGCUGUAUCGUAUCUUGUGUGUCGUAUAACGUACGGCUGCCGUAUUUUACAUAUGCGUUGUGGUGCGUGACAAUCAGAAGGAACGAAGGGAAAAAAGGACAGCAGGUUCGCUGAGUCAGCGUUUUGUACUUGUUUUGACCAGAGGGUUGCAGAGAUUGGGGACUGGGGGCAGGUACUGGUCAGGCGGGAUGGGGAAUAGGGUUGACGAUGUCAGGAUGGGAUGUGGGGCCCAAGGCAAGGAUUAGGGAUUAGGCGUGCUACACUACUUUUGGGAUGGGGAUUGCUGUCGGGGGUGAGGAUGGGGAUGGGAUCCCUGUCUGAGGGAUGGGGAUUGCAACCUUGACCAAGGAGGGGAUUGGGAGCCCUGGGCAAGGAUAGGGAUGGGACCCUGGUCGACAGGACGGGGAUUGCAGGCUUUCGCAAGUUUAGGAUGAGCUCGCUGCCAUAGGAUUGGGAACACAGUUGGAGGAUUAGGAUUGGGUGUUCUGCUGUAAAAUGAGGCUGCAGGUGCAGAAUUGGGAAUACUGACAGGACUGCAAAACAGGCAAGGAUGGAUGGUUUAGUUGUCCAUAGUUGCUUCCAUGGUGUGCUGCUGUCACUUGUGGUGCAUCUUACAGCGUCUGGUGAAAGUGUUAAAAAAGUGGUGGUCAAAGCCAAUACCAAACAUGCACGUUGUCGUGGUCGAUUUUGCUCACACACUCACACACUCAUGGGUCAGUCAGCAAUAUGGUAAACCAAACACCGAGAUAUCUAUCUUCACAAAGCAAGGCACCCCUGCCCAACAGCACCAUAAUCAGCUGUCCAGGUAUAGCCCAUGCCCAUGUUCACCAGCACCACAACGGGCCUCACAUCCCCCACUUGACACACAUGAGCACAUCUCACCAAAAGCGGCCCGUCUGCCAAAAGCGUGGCCACCAUCAGUGCAUGCAUCAACAUCAGCCAUCUCGCUAGGCCGUCAUGCAUUCAAUUGUUUGACCUGUGCUUGCAAGUCGUGUCCCAUAGCAAACCAAACUCAAACCCUAAGGAACUUCUAUGAGUUGGCAGCACCGAAUCUAGGCUGGGGAGUCUAACAACAGAGUCGUCCAUGCAUUUCUUGCUUCACACCAAAUGCCAGCGCUGGCACUCAUUGCAAACAACAACACACACAACAAAUAGGGCUUUACUAAUUUAAUUCAUGCAGGGUUACUCCCCUCCUCGCCCCCUACCGUCGGAGGACAGGCCUGACAUGUGCCCACGAGUUCAUGCCUGGCACGCUCCCAAUGCGGCUAAACAAGGUGGCAAACCUUUCAACGGCAGGGCCCAUAUAGGCAAUGACACUGCCGUGUGGAUUCAGCGCACGGGCUCCCCAUUGAAGCUCAUCACUAGUGCCCACCUGCCGGACGAACGAAAGGCGCUCCCGGAGAAAGCACACUGGCCAGUUCAGCACAUCAUUGAACCAGCUGCAGCCAAUACCUGCCUUCAAUAGCACCACGGCCUGCCUCACAUUCCCCGCCUGAUACUCCCGCUUGCAUCUUCCAAAAAAUAGCUCUUGGAGGCUCUGCCCUCUCCGUACACCAAAAGCAGGGUUGAGAAACACAUUCCCUCGCCAUGCAUUGCCCUCUGCCAGUCCAUCCGUCGCCUCAUCGUAAAAGGAAGUGGCCCGGACCCGCGUGUUUGCAGCGGCACAAGAACACGGGUCCAGGUCGAUGCAGCCUGGUGUGAACAGCUCACGCACCAGGUCCAAGAUGAAAUCUGGUGUGUACCAUUCACAUGUAUCACUUCGCGUGAUCACCGGCAGGCCGCCAUACUGCAGCGACAACGCAUCCUCAUGCCUCGUAUCACCAUCUGCAGCCAUGGGUGUGGCAUCAGAUGGUGCGGCUACAACAUCUGAAUCCGCUGAGACAUCAUCAGCCGGAGACCCGUUGACCUCCCUUAGACAUUCACGUACUAGUCGGCCACUGACACGUGCACUUUCCGGUCCACCAGCCCGUUCUAGUGCCAGCACCCAUACCUUCAGCUGGACAUCAGGAUGACAGCCCACCAAUGGCCGCACCUGCCUCUCAUUGCUUGGGCGGGCUACAUCUGCCGGGAGGUUUCGUAUGACGCGUGCCGCUGCAAUCAGGUUCCUGGCCUGGCGCAAGCCAAACCCAAGCACUGCCGAAGAUUUCCUUAUGUAGUCUUGAAAACUGGCAUGCCCCGCGAAGCUGUACAGCUUCCCCUCGGCGAUUUCUAACAUUGCUAGACUCGCCUCUGCAAAAUAAGCCGGAGCAGCCCUGGCCACACGUCGCUCAGCAGAAGCCAAGGCGUUGCCUUCUCCUGUACCAGCUCUGCCCAAGGAAGCCCUGCAAACCCGCAGUGCAAGACAAGCCAGCAUUACAUCCCGGAGUUGUAUCAUGCCAAGGCGACGAUUGCGUGCACAUGACAGCAUUCUUGGCAUGUUAGAUGCGCACUGUCAACUCAAAACGAUAGUUCAGGUCAUGCUGCUUGCAGAAGAUCACGAGCUGCUGGGGGCGGCCAUGCAUGAUGACCUUUGAGCAAGUCGUUUUGCAGAAGCAACAAGUGAUAAUCUUGUGUUUCUUAUGGCACUUGGGGCAGCACACCCACCGUUCAGGAACCCCAUCUUUGCCAACAGAGUGUGCACCCGGCUCCUUCUCCUCCUCCUCCUUCUCCUUCUCCUUCUCCUCCUCCUUCUCCUCCUCCUCCUCCUCCUUCUCCUCCUCUUCCUCCAUGCCCUCAGACUCUGAGUCGAUGGCCACCUCAUUGCCGUCCCUUGUCAUAUCAUCACCGGCUGAGCCCUGUGCCGUGGCCACUGCUGCCAGGGUCCCAAACUUCCAUUGGUAUGGGCGUAGGCAUCGACCUAAAACAAGACACAUUGCAAAGAGUGCAUGAGUCAGAUAAAGUAUACCCUGUAGUGGUUGGUCAGUCCUGUUCAGUCCUGUUCAGCAAGCGGUGAAACACAUUUAGGCUGAAGUGGUUCUUACCGCCAGCCACGGUCUUCACUGACGCCAAGUCCACCAAGCCUUCUGCAGCCAAUGCUUCGGCGGUGGCGGCAUCGGUCGACUGCCCGAUGGGGUCCAUCCCACGCGUUUCCACGAGGACGUCGGCCAGCUUUUGACGCUUCUGCAGAAGGUUAACACCAUUGGGCAUAGAACAGGCAUGGAACGCGACUAGGUGUAAAUGUGAGCAGAGUGCACCAUUGGCGCACACUCUGCCAGUUCUUCAGUCAGACGCAGUCCAACCCCGUUCUUACCUUGUCCGGCCCAUGCACAUCCACAUCCAGGGCACCAUCGGGUACCAUACUGGAAGAGAUAACAAACAGUCGUCGCGCUGUUACUAGCUUGCGCUUAACAAGGUGGGCGUCUUCCAAGACGAAGUUUGGAACACUUUGAAUAAGACCCGAACGUCAGUGUGUAAUCUGCAGACCCUACUGGGGGACAAGUCCGCAGGAGGCGUAUUAACAAGCUGGCCGCAUCAUGCCGUACCGCAUUCCCAAGCCAGUAUGCACAAUUCUGAGAAAGUUUAUUGUUUUGUUGUGGCACAACUCCACGUAACUCUGCACAUGCGAUAAAAUGUCUUAGUGCAUAGGAGCAAUUCUUGCGCAGAAGUCCAAGUCGACUCACAAGCAUUCCAAUUGGAAUGCCUGGCUUAAUGUAAUGUUAUCAGGUUGUUUGUCGUAGCGCUUUGGCGCACCCAACGUGGAAUGUUGGCGCCGGACUGUGCAGCUGAACACCUGUGCUAUGGUGAACCAAUCGUGCACCCGUUCUUUCGCCAUCAUCAGCACGUUUCCAGCCAUGGGCAUUUUGACAGAACACCCUUGUAUGUUCUGCCAUUCUAACCACAGCAUUAUAAUUUGUUGUUGUGGCCAUCCAUCGAACAUAACAAUCCUUCCUCCGUUAGGACGCGCUAUUUGCACUAGCAGCCAGUGUGCAAAUAGAUACGUAGACCUCUGUGCGGCGAGUUCUUCCUCGGCCGAGAUCCGCUUCAACGAGCGUUUGUCGCUUCAGUCUGCUUCGGAACGAACACAGCCGGGCUCUCCCCGGGCGAUCGGCGCAGCCCUCGGGUCACUCAAUUACAUCACAGGUCAAACCACCGACGGCGAUCGGACGGAAGGCGUCUUUCCUGGCAGCCUCGACAGCUCGCAGCUCCUUCAUCAGAGACUUGCUGCUCUGUCCCGGUGUCCGAGGUCGGUCCUGCAUAUGAACACCUUUACGGCUGCGCACCGCGAGGUGUCCUUCACUCCUCAGAUAUCGCAGCCGCCUGUCGUGGAGACGCCUGCUUGCAUAGUCAAUGUGGUGAACUUGAGGUACGGCAGGGAGGGGAGGGGAGGGGAGUGCCUUGGCUGCAGUUCCAUCAGGCACACAAGGCCUACUGUGUUCAUAAGGUCUGAAAGCUUAACGGUGCUCGCCCAACACAGGAUAUGGUGGCACGGGGGGCCAAGCUUCCUGCUUUUGUGGGUGAGCAACACUGCCUUCGUGCGGUGCUGUGCUCUGUGGCUGCCAGGCCAGUUGGGAAGCCGUGUCCUGCGUGCGCUGAGCUGUUUUAAAGCAUGAUGUGCACCAGCUUUUAAGCGCAAGGGCACGCGCGCAGCAUUCCGUUAUGAGAAUGCCGCACGGAACAUUAUUCCAGCAUCCAGCGACAUGUGAGCAUCCGGGAGCUCGGCCACUUGGAGCUUGUUGCACAUCUUGAAGCCACGCUAUCGGAGCUGUAAGUGUGCCACCAAAGUCUAAAUAGACUCCAGCUCACGCGCGACAUGGACCAGCUUACCGUGAAGAUGCUCGGCUGUGAGAAGGAGCUGCGAGAGCAAGCCAAACAGCGGGGGGAAGGGGGCAGGAGCUGACUGCUCUUCUUGAGACAUAUGGGCUAACAUGACAGGGGAGACGGACGGGGACGGACUAGAAAAUGGAUGGGGAACAGUGUAACACUGCAACUGAGUCGUCAAAUGCUUUGUGUCCUCGAUGUUACUAAGGGUUUAGGGGUUUGCAUCAAUGGUGCAAGUUAGGUCCUAGAUGUUGCUGCCCGCGUGUCGCUCUAAUCCUGCCCAUGUGAUGAUCAGGCUUGGUGGCACCUGGUCGUAGGUGCGGCUCACGACUUCAAGUUGGAGUUGGCUCAGCACUCGAGCAGCUCCUGCUGGGCAUUGCAAAGAGCAUCCACACAGCACGGCGCGGCGCUUCAGCUCAGCAGAGGUGCGGAGGUAGAAUUCUACACCACGCUACUGAACCUUGGCGGUCCGCUGGUGUGUUCAAAUUCGUGUCAGACAACCUGAAUGGACCCUGUCUGCGCACGAGGGUUCGAGGAGCACGCGUCAGCUCACCCUACUCCCGACUUGACUCGGUCCAUGAAAAUGUACAGCAAGUAAGUGCUUGGGAUGAUAUCUCUUAGUAACCCUACUGUGCAAGGUACAAGUUCCGCACAAUUGCAGGGGUGUCCGUAAAAGCCUAGGGGGGCCCCAUACAUGAUGAAUCAGUAUCGAUGCAGGUUUGCAGAGGACAGGCGUUGUCCUCCCUCGUCCACUUCAGGGUGUUUCCGAUUUGUAAGAGGAACCUGCGGGGGGGGGGGUAUACACAGGGGCUGGAGGUUUGCAGCAAGUACAACACCAGCAAGAUACCUGUCAUGAUAUGUGAGGAUGCCAGUGCAGCCACUCCACGGCUUGACGUAGCACACCGCGACGGGGGAUACUUCGUCUACGGCAUGUGUGGUGGUUUGGUGGAGGUCAAGUCGGUUGAGCAGCUGCAGGAUGAGCUGCUGAAGCGUGGGCUCGCCAAGUCACUGUACGUGCAUGUUAUGGUUCCCAUGCACUCUGGGAAAGGUUUUCACCCGUAGAUUCAUGUUUACCCGUAAUCACGUGGUCUACACAUGUAAUUACCGGCCAAGAAAAUUUGUAAACAUGCUUAUUUUUAAGUUGCCAAAGCAUUCCUUUUAUAAGGAAGAACAUAGGUGACAUUUUGUUGGUUGCCCGUGCUGGAAGUCAUCCACAGGUUACAUUACCCGUAAUCACAAGGUCUUGACCCGUAAUCCCCCAAGCCGUAAUGCACAGCACCCGUUAAAUUUCACGGGCUUAAUUGCGACGAAGACGUGUUAUGCAGCAUUCCUUGCAAUUGGACCUCGGUCAUCUUGGCUUUGUGCUGAAGCAAGCUCAUCCUAAUAACUGGCAGUGUUCUCGGUGUAAAGCUUAUACAUGUCAAAGGCGGCGUGAUGCUAUACGACAUGCCAGACAUUGCGUCCUUCGGCAGACCCAAGCCCAGUCUCCAAUAAUUGUAGAGCAUCCGCAGCCUUCACCUUCUGCCGCUGUUCCGCCGCUUGAGAUAGAUGAACCGUUAGUAGACCAGCACGUCCAAGACCAGCACGUGCAUCCAUUCUUAGCCCCCAGCCCAGUAGCUGCCGUUGAGGACCUUGAAGGCCAGAACGAUGUUGCCCCUCAGUUGGUAGAGCCGUAUCCUUUCCAACAUGCAGCAGCUGCGCUCUCAGCUGCCGAGGAUGGCGUCGAUGUGGACUUUGAUGCCGCUCCUGUCUUGCAAUUUGUGGAUGGUGAACUGGCUGGUGCGUUAUGCUAUGUAUCGGCAACUGUGCAUGUAUGGCAGCUGCCCCGUGCCAAUGUAACCCUCUCCCGCAUGUGCCUUGGCUUACUCGGCUUGUUUGCACUUUGCACAGGCCUGCCACCGGAUGCUGGACAUCAAAGUGAUUCCGACGCAGAGCAAGUAUGUCCCGAGGGCCCCUUGAUUGACGACAUAAUUGAGUUGGUGGGCACCCAGGACCCCUGGGAACUGGUCGCUGAGGCGCCCACCCCUACAGAGGAAGAAGAUGUGAACCCCGAGGCCUUGGAGUCUCCUGCGCUUCCGACCUGCUACUGUGGCUGUACACACCCCUACACCCAUCCUGGCACACUCCCUUACUUCACCCAGCACCUCGAUGCACCUUUGUGGUCGGUAUACGACCCACUGCUGCCGAGGGGGCCGCCCAUCCAGCGAUGCAAGUGGACCCUGCGGGACUCAGUGAACGCCGUGAUAGGCCACAUGAGGGAGCACGUUCCUCGCCGUGGCGAACUGGAGUCUGUGUUGCAGCUGUACGCGUCCAUGUUGCCAGAGCGCUACGUUCUCCCUACAUCCCUGUACAUGAUCAACCGCCUGGCAGGCGUCCGCAGCUGGUCAGAUUUCAUGGUGCACGUCUGCAGUGCUGAGGGGUGCCCCGGUCACGUGUAUGGCAGGCCGACAGGGUCGCUUGAGGAGCAUGGCGACAAGUGCCCGCACUGCUCUCGCCCUAGGUACUCCUUGAAGGACAUCGCGGGGCGCGCUGUCUGGGAGCCAGUGCACUGGUUCAUCUACUUUGGCGUCGAGGAGGUGGUCCGUACGGAGUUCUUCACCAACCCACAGUUCUGUCGGGAGCGCGGGCAGUUCCGUGGGGAUGCAACCCCUGGCUCGUCCCAGUGGCAAGGUGGGCCGGGUGACCAUGGCAGGAAAGGGCGAGCCGUUGGUAGCCGUUUGCAUUUCGCCGCACCUGUUCAAGGGGUUCCACAAUGCACCCUCACUUCGUUCUCCAGCCCUUGCAUCAUUGUAAUCGUUGUAAGCAGGCAUGGGGGUGCAGCAAAAGGGGAGUCUCGCAAUCAAAUCCCAUGCUUUUUUAGCUAUUGCCGCCGUGAUUACCAACCGUCGGCUGUACCUGGUCCCAGGCUGACGAGAUGUGCCCUCUCUGGCCCUUGCCUUAUGCAGGCGAGUGGGUGGAGUCGCUGAAAUCCUACGCUGGCGGCAUAGCCCUGCACUCAGACAGCUCUAUCUAUGACAUCGGCAUCGACUGGAUUGCACCCUACAACUCUACACAGCACAGUAUUGGCAUCCUGUUCAUCCGUUGUGCGGACAUGGACCCCCGUAACAAGGGCAAGAUCUGGAAUCAGCAUGUCAUCGCCAUCAUCCCCGGCCCCAGGAUGCCGUCUGUCCUCCACCCCUACCUCCAGCUCAUCGUCGACGACCUCCUCCACCUUGCCAGUGAUGGCAUGCGUGUCUCACCUGCUGCUGCGCCUGCCAAUCCGGAGGCUGCAGAGGGUGCUGCAGCUGGUGGCCAGGCUGGGCGCGGUGGUGCUGGAGGGACAGCUGUGGGCGGCAUGGCUGACGGGCAGGCGCCUGCUGAUGGUGACCUCCGGGGCAUGCGGCCCUUUC